UACGUAGGGCGCAAGCGUUAUCCGGAAUUAUUGGGCGUAAAGAGCUCGUAGGCGGUUUGUCGCGUCUGCCGUGAAAGUCCGGGGCUCAACUCCGGAUCUGCGGUGGGUACGGGCAGACUAGAGUGAUGUAGGGGAGACUGGAAUUCCUGGUGUAGCGGUGAAAUGCGCAGAUAUCAGGAGGAACACCGAUGGCGAAGGCGGCCUCUGG
rnacentral:rRNA from 1 species